rnacentral:miRNA from 1 species
UUUACUUGGGUUUUCUGUUCA